UAUUGGGCGUAAAGCGCGCGCAGGUGGUUUAAUAAGUCUGAUGUGAAAGCCCACGGCUCAACCGUGGAGGGUCAUUGGAAACUGUUAAACUUGAGUGCAGGAGAGAAAAGUGGAAUUCCUAGUGUAGCGGUGAAAUGCGUAGAGAUUAGGAGGAACACCAGUGGCGAAGGCGGCUUUUUGGCCUGUAACUGACACUGAGGCGCGAAAGCGUGGGGAGCAAACAGGAUUAGAUACCCUGGUAGUCCACGCCCUAAACGAUGUCAAUUAGCUGUUGGGCAACUUGAUUGCUUAGUAGCGUAGCUAACGCGUGAAAUUGACCGCCUGGGGAGUACGGUCGCAAGAUUAAAACUCAAAGGAAUUGACGGGGACCCGCACAAGCGGUGGAUGAUGUGGAUUAAUUCGAUGCAACGCGAAGAACCUUACCUGGUCUUGACAUGUACGGAAUCCUCCAGAGACGGAGGAGUGCCUUCGGGAACCGUAACACAGGUGCUGCAUGGCUGUCGUCAGCUCGUGUCGUGA
rnacentral:rRNA from 1 species